rnacentral:rRNA from 1 species
AGAGUUUGAUCCUGGCUCAGGACGAACGCUGGCGGCAUGCUUAACACAUGCAAGUGGUGCGACGAACCUUUUAGGGGCUAAGCCGCGAACGGGUGAGUAACACGUGGGUAAUCUGCCCCGAAGACUGGAAUAACUCGGAGAAAUUCGAGCUAAUACCGGAUGUGCUCCGUUUCCGUAAGGAGAUUGAGUAAAGGUAGCUUCGGCUAACCGCUUCGGGAGGGGCCCGCGGUCCAUUAGCUUGUUGGUGGGGUAAAGGCCUACCAAGGCUACGAUGGAUAGCUGGUCUGAGAGGACGAUCAGCCACACUGGAACUGAGACACGGUCCAGACUCCUACGGGAGGCAGCAGUGGGGAAUCUUGCACAAUGGGCGACAGCCUGAUGCAGCAAUGCCGCGUGAGGGAAGACGGCCUUAGGGUUGUAAACCUCUUUCAGUUGGGAUGAAGUCUCGGCGUUGAAUAGACGCCCGGGAUGACCGUACCUUCAGAAGAAGCCCCGGCUAACUACGUGCCAGCAGCCGCGGUAAUACGUAGGGGGCAAGCGUUGUCCGGAAUCAUUGGGCGUAAAGAGCGUGUAGGCGGUUAGAUAAGUCUGCUGUGAAAGUCGAAGGCUCAACCUUCGAAUGCCGGUGGAUACUGUUUAACUAGAGUGCGGAAGAGGCAAGUGGAAUUCCUGGUGUAGCGGUGAAAUGCGCAGAUAUCAGGAGGAACACCAACGGCGAAGGCAGCUUGCUGGGACGUUACUGACGCUGAGACGCGAAAGCGUGGGGAGCAAACAGGAUUAGAUACCCUGGUAGUCC